UACAUAGGGGUCAAGCGUUAUCCGGAAUUAUUGGGCGUAAAGAGCUCGUAGGCGGUUUGUCGCGUCUGCUGUGAAAACUGGAGGCUCAACCUCCAGCCUGCAGUGGGUACGGGCAGACUAGAGUGCGGUAGGGGAGAUUGGAAUUCCUGGUGUAGCGGUGGAAUGCGCAGAUAUCAGGAGGAACACCGAUGGCGAAGGCAGGUCACUGGGCCGCAACUGACGCUGAGGAGCGAAAGCAUGGGGAGCGAACAGG
rnacentral:rRNA from 1 species